AGAACGUCUGUUGCUCUUGGUAAUGAGUGACAGUUCUCCGCUGUCGGUGUUGCCUCAGCUUCUCAAAGUUUCUGGUGUUUAUGAAGAUCCAUAACAGCUGGCUGCAAACCCAACUCCUGAGAAUCAUUUCUGGGAGAAUGCCGAAGACUGCAUUUCAACUUCAAGAAUGGGCGGAUAGGAGCUGAACACCGUGGCUCAAGUGGCAAAUGAAGAGUCCAGCACAACAAACAGCCAUCAUAUGGUGCAAAUAGCAGGAGAGACCCCAUUGCCACCUGAUUUCUGCAUGAUCUAUUUGUGGUGGCAUGAGGCACUACAGGAGAGGUACCCUGCUGCCUUCCAGCAGUAAUGGAAGAGAUUAUGUGGACUAUGUGUUCUAGGAAAUAAACUUUUAAGACUCCAGCUGGCUCGGCAAUAAUAUAGGUGGUUCUAACGACACUGCUUAGUUAUGGGAAACCAUCACUGAAGAAAUGGGCCCAUUUAGUAUCAUCUCCCAUCUUGUCAUGAAUAUCAGAAGCCUGGAAGACAGGGAUAAAAAAAUGGGUGAAACAUGUUUGGCAUCUGGAGUUUCUGGAAAGUGCAGCCAAACCUCUUCGCUAUGCUUUGUGUUGGUUCUGGGCUGAUUAAAGUUAUCCACAUUGUA
ensembl:lncRNA CCDC26 CCDC26 long non-coding RNA